rnacentral:rRNA from 1 species
UACGGAGGGUGCGAGCGUUAAUCGGAAUCACUGGGCGUAAAGCGCGCGUAGGCGGCUUUUCAAGUCAGGGGUGAAAUCCCACGACCCAACCGUGGAACUGCCUUUGAAACUGUAGAGCUUGAGUGUCGGAGAGGGUGGCGGAAUUCCAGGUGUAGGAGUGAAAUCCGUAGAUAUCUGGAGGAACACCGGUGGCGAAGGCGGCCACCUGGACGACAACUGACGCUGAGGUGCGAAAGCGUGGGUAGCAAACAGG